ensembl:lncRNA
GUUUUAGGCUGGGUUUCUGUACAGCACUUUGAGAUAUCAGCUGAUGUACGAAGGGCUAUAUAAAUAAAUUUGAUUUGAUUUGAAGAACCUCUGAAAGCAAACAAGGAUAUAUAUAUUUUUUAAGACUUUUACGUUGAUGAAAGAAUCUACUGUGAUAGAGGCAUGUUUUUAUUUCAAAAAAUAUAUUUUUGAACUUUCCAGUUUUUUUUCUCCUAGCGAGAUUAAGAGACCUUGCAUCAAGACCUUCUUUACUGCAACCAAUAACUUCCUGUUUUGAACAGGAAGUUAUUCUACCAUCAACUGGAAAGUGGAAGUUCUUUGUUUGUUUUGAAGAGGACACUUCCACUAACAUUCUUAGCUGUUUCUCUGACACCUGUGAGCCUCGGUUAAAAACGUGAUGUGUGUUUCCAGUCCCUAAAGCAGCGUGGUCUCAUCCCUUCUCUACUGUUUCAACUCUUCACAAAUGAAAACAUCUAAUCGCCAAAGUGGUGAAGAAGGAGGUCAUCUACAGAUGACAGGAGCAGUGGCUUGUUUCUUCCAGAAGACUUGAGGAUGCAACUUCUCAGUCGUGAUGACGAGGUGGCAUCUCUACUGGUGAUGACGAGGUGACAUCUCUACUGGUGAUGACGAGGUGGCCUCUACUGGUGAUGAGGUGGCAUCUCUACUGGUGAUGACUAGGUGGCAUCUCUACCAGCAUCUCUGCUAGUGAUGACGAGGUGGCAUCUCUACUGGUGAUGAC